UUACGGCCAUAUCACGUUGAAACAUCGGUUCCCGUACCAUCACCGAAGUUAAACAACGUUGAAGCCAGUUCCUAGAUGGGUGACCAGUUGGGAAUACCAGAUGCUGUAA